AUCUGCUUGACAGAUGGGGCUGGGACUCCACAGCAGAGCUUGUUUUCCUUUGGUCUGGUGCGGAGGUGAAGCUGCAGAACUCGGGGUGUUCUAACAAAGCCUGGCCGGUGCUGGUCUGAGAGCAAAGUUAUCAGUGGAUGGCGACGAGGGAGGGUACUCUGGAGGGUAAAAGAAGUGCCAUAAAGGAGUGCAUUCAUCUAUUAAAUGAACUUUUAAGGGGCAGGACUACCUAUGGAAAAUCACUGAAGAGACAAUGAUUAUAUCAGCAAUAACAGCCCUGGAGAAGCACAGAAGAAGGACCCAAACUCUGUGUAGCCACUUUGUCAAAAUCUUCCACCUCCUAGCAUGCAGGGACAGAUGACCAAACUGCAUAUCAACAAUGAUUGAAUUCUGAGAUUCAUUUGCAGGAAAGGUGUUCAGCAAUGUUGUGAAAAUGUAUGUUUCUCAUAGAGAGCAUUGUGAAGAGAAAAAGUUGUGCCAAACCUUCAACCCUGACACACCUUGACGGCAUCCUGAAUUGAAGGGCUUCUAUCAAGACUUGUAUAGACUAACAAUCAAAGUAAACAUGUGCUUUGAAAGUCCAUGUUGAAGAGGUUAAAAACAAAGAUAAAGUGUUAGCUGUCCCAUAAAGUAUUGUUCACUGCAUAUUGUAAAGGAACUUGCUUUAUAAAAGCAGAUGGUGUAUUAGAGGGCUCAUUCAUACUCAGAAAUGCUGCCUUAAAAAUAAUUUUAAUAAUUUAAUGGAUAAGAUGACGAGCCCAAUAUCUCAAAUUUAUGUCACAUUUAUUAGCUUCUAUAAAUGCAAAGUUAAAGCACAUUUUAAAGAUUGACACCAUGUAAAACCAAGAUAAAGUGAAUCUGAAAACAAGGAGGUAUGGUAGCUGAUGUGUAAAUACAUUCAAUAUUUCAUUCUUGGUGGAUGGUGUCAGUUUGGUAACUUUCGUGACCUCAGACAAGACUAAUUUGGAAAAUGUUUGAACUCCAUAUGUAAAAGGUCCACUGCUACUGGAAAAUGUUGUUGUUUUUUUGUGUGUUAAUACACUAGUCCUGUUAUUAA